AAAAAAAAUAACAAUGAUGGUCAAUUUUGUUUGUUCUUUCAAUACGUGUUUAUUCAAUCCUUAGUUCCCUGUACCUGGACUGUAGGAAACAAAAACUUCAUAGGAAAUCAGGUACCUACAAAAGCCUGAAGCUUCUGUGAGCUCCAAGUAAAGUGAACGAGAGAAGCAGAUUCUGGCAGGCAUAUAAUAAAAAUUACUACACGAGGGAAAGAUGGGCUCUCAAGUUUAGAUUUGUGUCUCCUUGGCAGCUAAAGAUAUUUUUAAACAACUUUUCAUAUAUUUAUUGGCCAUUUGUACUCCUUUUGAAAACUUCCUUAUUUUGCCCAUUUAUUGAUUUGAUGAAUUUUCUUGGUUUUGAGUUUCUCUUGUUGUUCUUGGGGUUAUUCUUCUUCCUCUUCCUCUCCUCCUCUUCUUCUUUGUUAUUGAUUCUAGCUAUUAUCUAUGAGAUAUAGAUCCUGAAAUGAUUUUUCAGACUCCACAGGUUGUAUCUUCCCUUGGUAGUUGUUUCCUCUGCUAUUUUAAUUUCAUGUAACACCAUUUGUCAAUUUGUGCUAUUUCCUGGUGUGAUGUUUCAGAAAACCAUUGCCUAUCCCUGUAUCUCAAAAUAUUUUCAGAGUCUCAGGCCUUACAUUUAGGUCUUUGAAAAUAUAUAAACAAAAUAAAUAAAAAUAAAAUAAAAUAAAGGGUCAGGCAUAGUAGCACAUGACUUUACUUCCAGCGUUCAGAAUGUAAAGCCGCAUGUAUCUCUGUAAGUUCCAGGUCAGCCAGGACUAGCGAGACCGUCUCUCAGAAAGAAAUAAUGAUAAUGGCUUUUUAAUUUAUUUAUUUAUUCUAGGUACACUGUAGAUGCCUUCAGACACACCAGAAGAGGGCAUCAGAUCUCAUUACAGAUGGUUGUGAGCCACCAUGUGGUUGCUGGGAAUUGAACUCAGGACCUCUGGGAGAACAGUCAGUGCUCUUAACCACUGAACCAUCUCUCCAGCCCAAUAAUGAUGUUUAAAUUAAAGUCUUUAAUCUAUUUUGAAUGUACUUUAGUACAAAGUGAAAGACAAAGUUCUGGUUCUGUUGGUCUACCAAUGGAUAGCCAGUUUCCCCAGCAACACUUGUUGAAGAGUCUGUCUUCUCUCUACUGUUUAUUUUUGAAAUCUUUGUCAAAAGUCAGGUAGCUAUAUUUGGGUGGAUUGAUUUCUACGUCUUCUAUUCUAUUCCACGGUCCGAAUUUCUAUUUUUAUUUAUUUCAUGUGUAUCGGUGCUUUGUUUACAUGUCUAUUCUUUCUCUUUUAUUUUGCUAAAGCACAUUAGCAUAUGAAUUCUGAAUAUGGAUUGAACCCAGGGCCUCACUCAGGGAAGAACUCUACCUCAGGACUGUAUCCCAGUUCCUAUUUUAAAGCACCCAGAAAUAAUACCAACUUAGCUGGAUGUAAAAUUUUAUGUUUUAGGAUUGGAAAGAUGGUUCAGUUGUUAGGAGCACUGGCUGUUCUUCCAAAAGACCCAUGUUUGAGUCCCAGUACCCACUUACAAGUUCACAACUGUAACUCCAGUUUCAGGGAAUCAAUCCUCUUCUGGCCUGUUUGGGUACAAGGCACACAUGUGAUAUAUAUACAGACAUACAUACAUAUAGGCAAAAUACUCAUACACAUAAUAAUUUUACCUAUUAUUGGUUUUUCAAGACAGGGUUUCUCUGUGUAGCUCUGGCUACUCUGGAACUCACUCUGUAGACCAGACUGGCCUUGAACUUAAGAGAUCCACCUGCCUCUGCCUCUGCCUCUUCCUCUGCCUCUGCCUCUGCCUCAGCCUCUGCCUCUGCGCCUCAGCCUCGCUAGGAUUUGAGGAAUAUAUUACCACCUCUGGCAAUAAUUUUUUAAAGGUCAAUAUUUAUUGAGAGUGAGAAAAUCAAUACAAAUAAUGGAAGUCUUGAAGAAUAGAUCCCUUUCUCUGAGAAUUCUCAUCAGAAGUGCCUGUUGCGAUGUCUUCUCUCACUGAAUACAAAUUUUACCUACAGAAAGAGGCAAGAGGUCCUAGGAUAUCUACUAGUUUUUCAUAAGUUUAUUUCAGAAAGCACUCCCCCACAAUUGACCUGGUGGUACGUACCUGUGAUUACAGCACUUAGGAGGUGGAGGCAGGAGGAUCAGUAGUGGUCCAAAGUCAUCCUCAGUAACAUACAAAGUUGAGGCCAGACUGGACUAUCUGAAAGCCUACCUCAAAAAAAAUUUAAAAAUAAAAAUUCUUCCUGGAGUAAAAUAGUCCCUUUAAAAUAUCUUUUGCUUGCCAAGGCAGAGCUGGAAAGAUGACUCAGUGGUUAAGAACUCUCACUGCUCUUGCAGUGAACCCAAGUUUCAUUCCCAUUACCCAAAUGACAGCUCAGAAUUGCAGCUCCAGUUCCAAGGGAUCUGACUUCUGCUGACUCCUAUGCCAGGCAAACACAUGGAACACAUAUAUACAGGCAGGCAAAAUACUCUUCUACAGAAGUAAAACUUUUUUUUUUCUUGAGAGACAGAGCUUCUCUGUGUAGCCCAGGCUGUCCUUGAACUUAAGAGAUCCACCUGCCUCUGCCUCCCAAGUGCUGGAGUUAAAAGCAUGUACCACCGCUACACAGAAAAAGUAUCUUUUAUUCUUUCUGUUUUUCUUUUUUUUAAAGCAAUAUUGAGGAUUUAACCCAGGAUUUCCUGUCUGCUAGACAAGUGUUCUAACAAUUGCUAUAUUCCUAACCCUAUUUUACAUUUUACUGAAGCAGUGCAUAGCCAUAAUUCAUAAUCAAACAAGGUAUGAUGGCUUAUAUUGAAAAACGGAAAUUCUGUGUAGUAGCCCAUUCUCAUCCUUGCCAUGAGCCAGCCCUUUCCAAUCCCAUGGAUAUAGUCCUUGCGGUGAUUACCUCAUCUCUCCAGAGCAUAUGGCUGACUGCCAUUGAAAUGCCCAGUGGGUCAAGGGGUUCUGCCACCAAUCUGAUGACCUGAGUUUGACCCCUCAGACCUAUAUGGUACAAGCAGAGAACCAAUAUUCGCAAGUUUUCCUCUGACCUCGAAUACCUGUAUUCACAUCUCCCUCCCACAUACACAGAAACAGACAGACAGACAAACAGAUUCAUAGAACAUAGUCCUAUGAUGAUUUUCUUAUGUUCCCAUUUUAGACCUUAAAUGUCUACUUUUGCUGCAACCAGUAGAGAUUUAAAUGUCUUAUAUUACCUUCCAUCCUUUAUUUCCCUAAAUUCUAUUAUUUUUAAUUAUUUCGUUAAAUUGUUUCUAUACUAUUUUGACUUUAUAAGUGUGGACUAGGAGAGCCAAAUUCUGAAAUGUAAUUACAUUUAUUCCUUAUACGAAUUUGUCUUUGGCUUAGAGUUUCUAAUUAUAUUUUUUUCUGGCAGCACCUUCAGUAUAAUUGAUCUCUUUUGCUUCCCUCCGCUGCCCAGAGUACUGCUUGAUCUUCUUAAGCCACCUUUUUCUUGGAAACCUUCCUCCUAGAACCCACUAUACGAUCCCUCUGGUCUGGGCUGAUUGAUAGGCCCAUGCUUACUACAUGAUCGGGUCCUAGGAUUUCCUACCGCUGGUUCUCACUUCCUGAGACUACUGCAUCCUAGAUAUGAAGUUGAAAUCUUUUCAUUAUGCCUUUAUUUUGCUGGAGCACAUUGGCAUAUAAAUUCUGAUAAGAAUGUAAGGCAAAUUUUAAAUAUUUAAAUGUGGAAAUGUUUUUAUUAUUUGUUUAUUUAUUUUGUGGUAUAAUUUGAAUCCAGGGCCUUACAUAUCAUAGACAACUGUUCUAACUCAGGACUCUACCCAGGUUCCUGUCUUUAAACACCCAGAAUUAGUACCAAUUUAACUGUGUAUAAGAGUUUAAGUUUAGAGCUGGAGAGAUGACUCAGCACUUAAAAGCACUAGUUGUUUUUCCAAAAGACCCAAGUUCAAGUCCCAGCCCACACGAAAGCUCACAACUACCUGUAACUCCAGUUCCAAGGGAUCCAACACCUUCUUCUGGCCUCCAAGAGCACCAGGCAAAAACAGGGUGCACAGACAUAUAAAGAGCAAACAUUCAUAUACAUAAAAUGUAGAUAAAUAUUCAGUCCCAGCACCUGUAACUCCAGUUCCAUACACUCCAAAGCCACCACCUGGCCUCCACAGGCACCAAGCACCCACAUGCUACACAUACAUAUUGCAGGCACUCACACAUAAAUCUUUUUUUUUUAAUUAGUGACUUUUUGCGUAUGUGUGAGUGCCUGCACUUAGUUAUGUACACCAUGUGAGUGUCAGAACCCGUGGGGGUCAGAUGAGGACAUCAGAUCCCCUGGAACUGCAGUUACAGACAGUUCUGAUCUGCCCUGUGGGGGCUGGGAACUGAAUCUCAGUCACCUGCAAUAGCAACAAACAUACUUAGCCAUCUUUAGUCUUUAUUUCGAGACAUGGUCUCACUGUACAACCCUGGCUAGCCUAGAACUCUCUGUGUACACUUGGCUGGCCUCAAGUUUAUUGAUCCUACAAACUCACUAAACCAUUUAUUUUAAAUAGAGAUCCGGCUGCUUCUGUCUCUUGGAUGCUGGAAAUUCAAACUGUGUACCUCCACAACCAGCUAAAAACAUUAUUUUUGACAUUUUUAAAUGGUAAUAUACCUUAGUGUAUACUUUUUUUGUUUUUAAAAUUCAUGUGCUUGUGCUCAGAAUGAAUUGUGUGCCUCUGGGAACAGAGUUCAGUGGUACAGAAAAUGUUUAACAUAGCAAAGCCCUAGAUUAAUUCUCCAACACCCAGUGAAAAACUGACAAUUGAGUCAAGUAUGAGUUCAUGCCUGUAGUCUGAGCUCUUCCGAGGCAGGGAGGCAGAGGCACGUGGAUCUCUCAGUUGAAGACUAGCUUGAUAUACAUAACUCCAGGAUAGCCAGAACUACAGAGUGAGACCUUGUGUCAAAUAAAUGUUAAGAAAAGGGAAGAAGUUAAGAGGGACUGACAAGAUAGCUUAGUGGGUAAAGAAGCUUGCCACAUACACUGGCAAGCUGACUUCAAUCCCUGGAUCUCAUGUAAAGAUGGAAGGCCAAUCCCACCGUUAUCCUGUGACUCAUGCCCUGGCAUAUAUACACACAUAUACCUCUCUGUCUCUGUCUCUUACCGUAAUAAAUAAUUUUUUAAACAUCAUGAUAUUUAAACAUGCCUUUAAAUAUCAGCCCCUGAGACACAUAGACUGGGAGGUGACUGAGUUCCCCACAUUCACCUAGUCUACAUAGCUAGUACAUGGCAGUUCAUGUUGUAUAGUAAGACCCUGUUUUAAAAUAUAAUAAAAAUCAAUAUAUUUUUGCAUAUUGAUCAUACAAGCUCACUAAACUACUUAUUUUAAUAAUGUAUUUGUUUAAUACACAAUAUAUCAUUAUUAAUAUGACAUGUUAAUAGCAUAUAUACUUCUUCUGACAUUUUCCUGCUUGGCCUCACUACAAACUAGGGUUUGGGUCAGACUUGCGUGGAGGAGGUGACCAUGGGCAUCCUUUUCUUUCCCCAUUCUUGGAGUCAGAUAAAUUGUGUAGAACUUUGUCCUGUAGGCACCACAUGGCUUGUCACCAUUUUCACAUCAGACCAACUGAAUUUCCUGCAUGAGACCCUCACGGGAUUGGGCCCAGUAAUAUCUUGGUGAGCGCUUCCAAGACACAAGACACAUGAGGCGGCCCAUAAGGCCCCUCCCUCUUUGAGGAGAGUUUUCAGUGGUAGAUGAGUCCUCUAAGUUCCCAUAAGUCACCUAAUGGCUAUUUGGUUCAUGUGUCUUAGGCGGGAUCAUUUCUUUGCCCUGACACUGGUGUCUGUCUAGAAUGAGCAGGCGACCUAUUCAUGUCUCUCUGAGAUGAAUGAGGUGCUGCCACAGCACUGGGGUCCUUGCUCCAUUCUGAAAAAGGCAGGUCUCAAUGUUUCAGUGUUAUGGCUCUUACCCUGUUUUCACAGGUGCCUGUUAACAUGGUUGUGUCCAAUCCUAGUUAAGACUUUUCUAUUUAUUUCACUAAGCCAUCUAUUUAGUUCCCAAAGAUCCCAGGACAUAUCAAUACUAGGCAAAUACACUGACUAAGCUAUAACCCAUUGCAAGAAAUUCUUUUAAUUACAUUAUUUAUUUGGGUAUGGAGGUGACAUAGAAACUAAUGGAAAUCUGUUCUCUCUUUCUACCAUGCGGGUCAUAUAGUAUUGAAAUCAACUGGACAUCUUACUGGUUUGGUUUGGUUUGGUUUGGUUUGGUUUGGUUAAGAUACAAGCUCUCUAGGUAGCUCAUGCUGGCAGAUCCUUACUCCCCAAAGCUGGGGUUACAAAAUUGUACCAGCACCCCUGGACUCCACAUGUUUUUAUAGUAUUUCUAAAUCCAUACUUGUAGCCCUGCUCUCCUACCAGAGGCUCCUCUGCAUGUGCAGCUAUCUAGUCCUGUGUUCUUUUGACUCAUGAACACUGUUACAUGCCUACUUCCAGCUGGAAAUGCCUCCCAGAACCUGAGGCCCAGGUGUGAAGGACACAGACCACAAGUCUGUCCUCAGGACACUGGCACAGAAGUAAACAGAUGUUCAGUGUUGGCGGUGGCAUGCAGCUUUAGUUCCAGCAUUUGGCAGACAGAGGCAGGCAGAUCUCUGUGAGUUCAAGGAUAGCCUGUCUACAUAGCAAGUUCCAGGGCUACACAGCAAGACCCUGUCUCAAAAACAAAACAAAACAAAUGGUAAACUUAUUCCUUUGAAUUACCUGAACUGAUACAAUGGACAAGAAUAGGACAAGUGUGCAUUAGAAAGGGGUCCCUUUGCCAGGAGGUGGUGGUGCACACCUUUAAUCCCAGCACUCACAAGGCAGGCAGGUGGAUCUCAGUGAGUUCAAAGCCAGCCUGUUCUACAGAGUGAGUUCCAGGACAGCCGAGGCUACCCAGAGAAACCCUGUCUCUGUAAAACAAAGAGGAGAAAAGGAAAGAAAGAAAAGGAGGUCUUUUCUGGAUAAGGGACUCAAGGAGGGCACUUGGAGGACAUUGUACCUGAUCUUAGACUAUAAAGAAGAAGCAGCAUUGGAAUAGUUUAGUGAACAACAUUCCAGGAAUAGGGAAUAGCCACUGUGAAGAUUCUGGGGUAUUCAGAGCUCAGUUCAUCCAGUCUGAAAAGGAGGCCAGCAGAGUAGCUCCACUGGUGCCUAAGGAACAAGGAACUCUGAGACAGGAAUAUUAGCAGAGGCCAGGUCACAAGGAGUGUGUGAGUGUGGAAUCCAUGAAGCAGGAAGCUGUGGGAGGGACGUGGAUGUGGUCUGGUGUAUAUAGUGUAUUUAUACAUAAUGUACAUUAUGCAGUAUACAAUAUAUAAUGAAGCAUUUCACAAUGAUUUAUAUUAUAUAUUCUACUUUACUUCACUUCUGGUCCUUUAGGGGACCUAAUCAGCCAUGAUGAUGACACAUCCAGUACCCUGUCUAAUACCUCCUUGAUUUCCUCAUGCUACCAACCAGCUUCCCCACAAGACAGUCUCAUUAACCAUAACCACACCAUGCUAUAUAUACACUACAUAUAUCAUCAUCAUCAUCAUUAUUAUUAUCAUUGUUAUUAUUUAUAUUGGCUUUUUUUGAGACAAGUCCUGUUGGUGUAGCUCUGACUGGUCUUGAACUCACUAUGUAGACCAAAGUGGUCUCAAACUCCAAGACAUUGCUGCCUGUACCUGUUGAAUGCUAGGUUUAAAGGUGUAUACCACCAUACCCUACUCUUGUUUAUUAAAAAAGAAAGGAAGAGGAAGAAAGGAAAGAAGGAAGGAAAACCAAGCUGAAGCUAUGAAACAGACAUUUAAAGAUCAGACAGAUGAGCAGGAGCCAGCAAUGGUGGCUCAGAAAAAUCAGUACGAGAGAAGAAAGCCCGGUGUAUAGUAGAUUUCACAAAAGUCAGGAUAGGAAAGUGCUCCCAGGAGGAAAGAAUGGUGAUCUACACAUGCCACUGAGACAUGGGGGAAAGGAGCUCUCAAAAGUCCGCACUGAGUUUAGCAACUGAGAAGUUCCUGUCGUUUACCAGAAUAAAAGAAUCUGAAUAGCCCUAAGCAUCUAAAGUUGAGCAGAGUAAACUAGGCUGAAGGUGAGACAGGAAGUGGAGACAGAUCUCAGUGAUGGCUGCUUAUUUGGGGCUUGGGGGCUUGUGUCCUGAACUGAAAAUGCAAAUGAGAGAACUAGUGGAAGUUUCUAGGGUACAUGUCUUUACACAUAACGCUCCUUACAUGACUGCUCAGGGCAGGUGGGCAGAUAAACAAAUGUGUUAUGGAUUUGGUGGACAGAGUGAUUAUAGUAGUGAACUAAGCAAGGAAGAGACAAAAGAAAAAAAAAAGAGGUAGCCAGUGAGUAGUUAAAGGUGGUACAGAUGACAGGGACAUGAGGUGGGAGACCUGUGGGAGACACACAAGUGAGCUGGAAGGACAGAAAAUGGUGCUUAGCGUAGGUGACUUGAAACCAAGAGUUAGGGUGUGCUGUGGUUAUGGCUAAUGAGCUGGUCUUGUGAGGAAGCUGAUUGGUAGCAUAAGGAAGAGAGGAAGUCAUGCAGGUGUUAGAGUACUGAUUGAGUCAUCACCAUGGUUGAUUAAUUCCCUUAUAGGAUCAGAGUUGAAGUAGGAUAAAGAAAAAUGCUAAGAACCAAGGGUCAACAUCAUUGAAAAAUGCAUUUUUCAGAUUAUAGCGCCAAAGAAAAAGUAACUAGGGCUAGGAAUGUGGUUCAGUUGGUAUAGUGCUUGCCUAGUAUGCACAAAGUCCUGGAACCUCAUAAAACUGAGCAUGGAGACCACUACUCAGGAAAUCAGAAGCUUAAGAUCAUCCUUGGCUCCACAGGGCCAUCCAAGGCCACCCUGGGCUACACAGGGAGUCCAAGGCUAGCCUGAACUACAUUGGGUACAGCUAAAAGAGCUAUAGUUCGAGGAAGGAGAAGAAAAAAGAGGGAGAAGAUGGAGGGAGAGUUGGGCGAGGUGAUUGAGAAUAUCGAAAUGUGAUGAGAUCCACAGUCCAUGAAGGAGAGACAGCCUUCCCCAGGAGGUCUGAGGAAACUGUCUUCUGAAGGCACCAGAUUCAGGUGAGGCCAGAUGAGGAGAGGUCUGUGAACCUCUCAACCUGCACCUCUGUGAAGUCACAAACAGGAAUGCCAUCCUUGCCUUUCUCCCAACUAUAUCGAUUCCACCACCAAAACCUAAAUGUCCAAAGACGCUCCUAAUCUAAGCCUCCACAACCUUAGGAAGGGUAUGCUGGCCACUGGCUUGGCUUUGCCCAUGGCUCCCUCCAUCUAUCCUCUAUUGACAGCAUACCUACUCAAAUGCAAAUCUGAUAUUGUCUCUCUUCUACUUAAAAAAAGUCAGUAACCCUUCCUCACCACCCUCACAUCUUUCCUCUUCCUCUAACCCCCAUUUUUUGACAAGAUGCAAGUUCCCCAUUAUAGUUCAAUAGCCUUUCACCAUCGAGUAUUCCAAACCGCCAUCUCUGUCCUGACUCACUGGACCUCAUCUUCACACUCUGCUCCUGAGACACUACACAUCCCCCCUUCCCUGGGAGUAUGUCCGCUGCUGAUCCAGUGUCCUAGCACUCUCAUCUGUGGAUACACGGGUACAGUCUUCUAAUCUGGGAAGGAAAUGACUUCCUCUGGAAUGCCUUUCUUUUUGUUUUGUUUUGUUUAUUAUUUUUAUCUUAUGUGCAUUGGUGUUUUGUGAAGCUCCUGGAAUUCCUGGAGCUAGAAUUACAGACAUUGGUGAGCUGCCAUGUGGGUGCUGGGAAUUGAACGCUGGUUCUCUGGAAGAACAGCCAGUGCUCUUAACCUCUGAUCCAUCUCUCUAGCGCCCCUUCUGGGUUUUAUUGUUUGUUUGGUUUUGGUUCCUUUGGUUCAUUUGGUUUUUCCAAGAUAGGAUUUCUCUCUGUGUUGCCCAGCAGGUACUGUAACUCACUUUUCCUGAGCGCUGGCAGUAAAGGCAUGUGCCGCCAUCAACUCAGCCUCUUUUUGUUUUUUGAGACAGAAUUUUACCAUGUAGUUCUGUCUACCCAGAGCCUCACUAUGUAGAUAGAGCAGGUUGUCCUGGAAUCACAGAGAGCUUCUUGCUUCUGCCUGCCACGCCAAUCUUACAAAGUUAAUAACAGGAUAAUUUCCUGAGAUCACUAUAGACAUGGUAAAUUGAGGUUUGUAGGCAUGACAGGGCAGUAGCUAGAUCUGGCAGUACAAACUGGUAUGCAGAGAGUUCUUGAAGCCAUAUCUCUCAUGCUUAAUUUUAAUAAUAUUUUAAAAAACAAAAGGUAAAAUAUAUGCAGGUGAACCAUCACACCUGUACUCCUGGCAUUUAGGAGACCAAGCAAGGAGAAUGGUCAUGAAUUCAAGCCAAGGCCAAUCCGGGCUGUAUUAUGUGUUCCAGGCAGAUGAGCCUAUACAGAAAGUAAAACCCAUUUUUAAGUGAAAAAUAUCUAAAAAUAUAUAAAUUUCAAUCUUAGAAUACAAAAUAAGAAAAGCCAUUUUUGGGGUUGGGGAUUUAGCUCAGUGGUAGAGCGCUUGCCUAGCAAGCGCAAGGCCCUGGGUUCGGUCCCCAGCUCCGAAAAAAAAGAAAAGAAAAGAAAAAAAAAAGAAAAGCCGUUUUUAGGGGUGCGUUUAUUAUUUUGGCACUUAGAUCUAUAUUCUAUCUACUCUGAGUUAUCUUUUAUAUAUACUAUUAAGUGAGGGUCUAGCUUUAUUGUUUUGUAUGUGAACAUCCAGACAUGCCAGUACUGUUCACGAGGCUCAUUCUGCUCGCUGUUUCCUAACUGUAAUAAAUAUUUAGUUUAUGAAGUAUUCAGUCUCUUCUCCUUUUUGGUGCUUUAGAGGAACAUAAAAACUUCCACAUGGUUAGCACACCACAUACAUACGCACACCAAAAGAAAGCUUUUUGUUUUUUUGUGUUUUUUUCUUUAAACAAAUGUGAUGGCUACAUAGCUCUGGCCCUUGAGAGUCAGAGACAACAAGAUUUAAGGUUUGAAGCCUGCCUAGGUGUGGUGGUUGAUGCUGUCAACUUGACAAUCUCAGGUUAUGUUCCAGGAGGAGUUUUUAUAUUAGUUCUUUGAGGUGAGGAGACAGGUCUCACUGAACCUGGAGCUUGCUAUGUUGGCUAGGCUGGCUGGUCAAUAAGUUCUAGAACCCGCCUGUUUUGCCACACUAGCACCUGAUUCUAGGGUUACAGACACAUAUCCUCUAGGGAUCUGAACCUGAGUUCAGAUGUCUGCAGAGCAAACAUUUAGUGAGUUACCUCCCCAGACCCUACUCUUCAUUUUAGUUUUUGAGUCUCAUGUAGACAAGGCUGACCUUGAACUCCUAAUCCUUUUGCCUCCACCUCUGAAGUGCUGACAUUACAGGAAUAUGCCAGCUUUUUUGUUUGUUUGUUUUUUGUUUUAAUGCCUGGGUCUUCCACUGACUCAGAACUCAAUACGUAGACCAGGCUGACUUCAAACUUGAUACCUCCAGGCCUCCUGGUCCUACCUCUCAAAUGCUAGGCUUAAAGUUUGCAGCACCACACCCUAUUCUGCCUGUUUUCUUUUUAACCAUAGCAUUUGCCUAUGCACACUCACCCAAACACACCAAGAGACACUCAUUACCUACUGAUCUAAAAAAAGUUGUGUGAUUCCUUAGAGGCUCAAAUCCUGAGAGCAGUGACUGUGGACGCUAAUAUUUCUAAACAACAGGUCCUAUUUCCUUUGACCUAUUUCCUUCAGGGAGAUCAAAGACAGCUCAGAUAUGAUGAUGGUUAUGUUCCUGAAGUUGAAACUUCAGUCAUUUCCUUAUUCCUUCAACAUGAGCAUAUUUCACAUAUUCGUUCAGCAGGUGUGUGCAAAUGAGACCAGGUGGGGAGUAAAAUGCAAUCUUAGAACAUUCAGAGCCUAGUUUCUACUUUGACAUUCAGAGGUAAAGUUUGCUAUCGAUGGAUUUUAUUACUGAAGAAAAUCAAAGGCAUUGAAUCCAGUGCCUUAGAGGUUCUGAGUGAUAUAGAAUUUGCACCUUUGUGCAUCAGCAGGACUCACCUCAAAAUGUGGUGCCCCCCAGCAUAGCACCAUAGCCUGGAAAGUACAUGUGGAAUUACACAAAAGAGUAGGCCCAUCCCCAUCUCCACUUAACACAGUCUCUCCAAAACACGCCAUAUAACCCCCACCGCAAUAGCUGCACCUGUUUUCCUGUCAGCUGAUACAGAUACCACAGACCUGUCGUCCGAAUAAGAGCUUCAGUCUGAUGUGGUGGCAUGCUUACAAUUCCAGGCUAAGAAGAGGAUUGCUGGAAGUUUCCUGGCUACAUAGUGGGUACCAGGCCAGCCAGUGAUCCAUAUGGAGACCUUGUCUCAGACAAACAAAAUAUCACACAGAACCAGGUACAGGAGCUCAUGUUUGUCAUCCCAGCACUCAGGAGGCUGAAACAGGAUUGCCAUGUUAUUCAGUUCAGCCUGGGCUACAUUUGUAAAUCCUAGGCCAGUCUGAAAAAUAGGGUGAGACUCUGAUAAUACCAACCCCCACCACUGCCACCGCCCCCACACCCUCGAAGAAAAUUUUUUCUCUUUCCUUUUUUUAGUUUUUUUCCCAGUAACUUUUUUUUUUUUUUUUUUGGUUCUUUUUUUCGGAGCUGGGGACCGAACCCAGGGCCUUGCGCUUCCUAGGUAAGCGCUCUAUCACUGAGCUAAAUCCCCAGCCCCCCAGUAACUUUUCUAAAGGAGCUACAGGAAGUGCUGUAAGAUCCCUGGGCAUUCGAAAUGUAAAUAAGAAAUACUCAAGUUAAUAAAAAAAAAAAAAAAAAAAAAAAGAACUGCUGCUCUAUAAGCAACUGUAUAAGAAAAAAAAAAAAAAAGAUCCCUGGGCAUGUCAAGGUAGCACACUGCUACUGUCACACUGUGUCUUCACACAGAACCUUCUCAGGCUGGAGUGAACUCUGCCAGCAAGGGGGCCAUCAUCAAAGGGAGUGAACCUGUCCUUCUGGCCCCCAUAUGUUCUGUGUGCUUUCCACUUACCUGGGCUCCUUGUACUUAAGAUUUUCCGUUCCUCCACAAGUGUACCAGGCACCACCUUCCAAAGAAGCCUCUUGCAUUCAUCCUCAGGUCUGUAUCUUCAGAAACCGUAUCUGUGACAAUCCAAGGUAAAUUAGGGGUGCAGUGGAAAGCAUUGACAAAGGUCUCCCCGAUCUUCCUUCUAGCCCAAGCUAUCCAAGCUCUCCCCAUCAGGAAUUUUAGCUUUGAAGUUGACUCAGGAGGUUUCUGUUUAUUCUUCCCCUACAUCUCGAAGCAAGGAGGCAUUCUGUUAGCCUCUGACUGCCAUACAGGACAUCCUGGAAGAAACAACCAGAGGAGAAAGAGUUUGACUCACAAUUCCUGGUCACAGUCCAUCACGGUGGAGAAGUGAGCUAGAACUUGAAGCAGCAUUCUACUGUCAAGGGCAGAGAAGAAUGAAUAAAUAGUUGUAUGCUUGCAUGCAGGGGCUUUCUCCCUAGUCUACAGGGUGGGAUCCCCUGCCUGGGGAAGGGUUUUCCCACCUCGAUUAACAGGAUCAAGAUAAUCUCCCACAGAUGUGCCCACACCGCAGGCCAACCUGUACUAAACCAUCUCUGAGACUCAUCUAAGAUGAUUCUAGAUUGUGCCAAAUCGACAAAACUGUCAGCAGAGAAGCAGACCUCUGUGAGUUCCUGGCCAGCCUUGUCUACAUAGUGAGUUCCAGGUCAGUCAUAUGCAGUGAGACUCUGUUAAAAAAAAAUAACAACAAAAAACAAGUAAAUGAACAAACAAGCCACUGAGAGAGACCAUUGAACAAACUAGGAUGUGUGCUAUCUCUGUCACUUCUACUUAGUUCUAACUCUUUGAGGCAGGGGCAGUGGGAGUCAGGAGAAGACCUAGCCUAGCCUGAUGGACAUGCCAUUCUCCACCCUCGGACCUGUACUGCAUGCCUAGGGCUUUUUUUUUUUUUUUUUUUUGAGAGUUGGCUUAGUUAAGAACAGUCACUGCUCUUGCAGAGAACCAUGGUUCAAUUCCCAGCACCUGUAUGGUGGCUCACAACUGUCUAUAACUCCAGUUGCAGGGGGAUCCGACACCCACAAUACUAGACACAUUUGAUACAUCCUCAUACAUGCAGGCAAAACACUCAGAUACAUAAAUUAAUAAACUUUACAUAAAUUGAUCUUUAAAAAUAAAAAUUACAUGCAUAAGAAUAAAGAGAAAUUAUUACUGGGAAAAAUAAACUGUUUCUUUGUACUGUAGGGUUUUGUUUGUUUUUGUUUUUUGAGACAAGUUCCUCUGCAUAGCCCUGACUGACCUGGAACUUGAUCUGUAGAACAGGCUGGCCUCAAACUCAGAGAUCCACCUGCUCCUGCCUUCCAAGUGCUGGAUUAAUGUGUGUGUCACCAUGCCCAGCUUUCCCCCCCCCCCCCGCCCCCGGAGCUGGGGACCGAACCCAGGGUCUUGUGCUUCCUAGGCAAGCGCUCUACCACUGAACUAAAUCCCCAACCAUGCCCAGCUUUAAAUGCUAGUUUUUAUCUUGAGCUGUGGGUUUUACCCUGUUUGGGGACAACUAGGAUGGUGGCUUGCCUUUUAUGAUUUGUGUGGCUGAUUUUCCAGGCUCUCCUGUGGACUGCCUUCUGUACCUGCAUUACAGAACUUUGGAUUAAGGGAGGAGCCAUGACUUAGUGAGAGAGGAGUCAGUGGUGGGUCAUGUUUUCUCCAUUCAUCUUCCUAGGAGGUUCAGGCUCUGUGGCAGGAAGCAAGGCUCCACAGUGUAACACGGUAAGUAGUUUCAGGUUUAGUGUCAGUUUCCUUAACUGUGAAGGGGCAAUAAAUAAUCCUCUCUCCCAGAGUGUGGGUCUUCACUGGGUUGUGAUCACCCAGCACAGAAACUCCCUCUACAGCAGUUCUGCCUUUCCAGGGCAGGAGAGUUUUCUAUCUCCUUUCCCUCCACUGAGAGCCCUGCGCAGGGCUCUCACAUAAGGCUGUCUUCGACCUAGAGGACAGCUAUAGGAGAAAGGGGAUGCUGUAAAGCACAGCAUGGCAAGAAGCAUUUGGAGAAACAGUGGCCUUGGCCUUGGCUGUGUCCUGAGAGCAGAAACUUUCCCUUCCUGUGUGAGCUGCAGAGUACAUGAUGAGAGCAAAACACACUUUCUGUAGAGUAUGUGCCUCACACAUCCAGAACCCUGGUUCUGACCCCAAGUACAGCACUGAAUUAAUUACUUAAUCAGCUUACGUAAACAAAAUAAACCAAUACAGGCUUUCUGCUGACACAAUGUAUAUAUUGUUUCUGGCUAUCUGACUUCCAAAUCCAGGUCUCCAGCACCCCACCCCCAGUCAGAGACUAUGGGAGUCACCAUGCCUUUAAAACCAGUUAGAGUAGAUUCUGUAAUUUGGAGCUAAAUUCCCUGACAAUUUCCAUAAUUGUAGAUAAAUACAGUGUCUGGUACUAGAAGUGGGGUCAAUCAGACUGUACCUGUAGCCUCUGGCCUUCCAAGUAAAUGAGAUAAUACAUUUCCUUAUUGCUGCUGUCAUUCCUACCAAAGCUUCAACUCCCUGGGCGUAAACGCAUGGGAAUCAUGUUCUUUAUCUACUUUCAGUGCCUGCAAUGCACCAAGGCUGUGCCUAACACAUCACAUUUAUAGUUGGUAUACUAUAAUUGAUAUACAAUGAAACACAUAUAUUUAAAAGAUAAGUUUAAUGUCAUGAAUUUUGACAUAGAUACAUACAUGAAAAUGUCACUCGAGGGUUGGAGAGAUGGCUCAGCGGUUAAGAGCACUAACUGCUCUUCCAGAGGUCCUGAGUUUAAUUCCCAGCAACCACACGGUGGCUCACAACCAUCUGUAAUGGGAUCUGAUGCCCUCUUCUAGUAUCUGAAGACAAUGUACUUACAUACAUUAAGUAAUUUUUUUUAAAAAAAAGAAAGAAAAUGUCACUCCAAUUAAGAUCAUAAAUUCCUCCAUUAUCUUCAAAUAUUUUUGCAUGUCUUUUGUAGUCUCUCCCUCUUUCCUUCCAUACCAGCACCAGGAAAUCACUAAUCCUUUCUAAAUUUUUUUUAUAAAUGAAAUAAAACAAAAUGCAGGCUUUGGGAGGCAGUGGUGGUGCACACCUUUAAUCCCAGUGGAAGCAGAGACAGUCGGAUCUCUGUGGGUUCGAGAGUUCCAGUACAGCCAACACUACACAGUGAGACUCUGUCUCGAAAAAGCAGGGAAGAAAGAAAGAACAUAGGCGCUCUUGUUCCUUCUUGCUCCUCUCUCUUGCCCUCUUGCUCUCUUGCUCUUAUCCUCUUCCCACUUUAUCCCUUUUCUCCCCAUUCCCCUCCCCCCUUCUCUCCAUGUCCUUCUUAUAGCUCGCCUCUACCUCUCUCUCUCUCUCUCUCUCUCUCUCUCUCUCUCUCUCUCUCUCUCCCUGUCCCUCUACUAACUACCCUCUUAACCCUCUUAACUCCCCUCCCCAUACCUGAACUCAAGUCUAUACAGGAAAAAAAAAAAAAAGAAUGUAGGCUUUGGUCUUUUGCUUAACAAUUAGAAUAUUAAAGCAUUUUGUGUGGGGGGAAAAAAAGCAUUUCAUUCUGUGAGGUGUUUGUUCUUUUGAUUGCUGACUGCUACUCCAUUGUGAGCACUCACAUACAUCCUUGUGUUAAUAUAUGCUCCUAUUUUUCUAGUGUAAAACAUGAAAGAAUGGUUAAGGUGGUGCUAUAAUAGUAACUUUAGGAAUAGGGAGGGUUGUGUGUGGUGGUCCCAACACUCUGGAGGUGACACCCCUAUAAAGAAAUUAGACAUUUUUAGCCGUUCUAUGGUAGGCAUUUUAAUUUGACUUUAACAUAUUAAUGCCCCUUACUUUGAUUAAUUUCAAUAUAUUUUUCAAAUUUGAAAUUGGUAUUUAUUUUACUUGAAGUAUUUGCUCCAUUUUUAGAUGUGGUCUCAUUAUGAAGCCCAUGUUGGCCUAGAACUCAUCCUCCUGCCUCAGCUUCAUUAGGGCUAUGGUUACAGUAUGUGCCAACAUGCUCAGUUUAAUCACUUGUAUUUACUUAUUUAAUGUUUGUUAGUGGAAACGUGCAAUAUAUAAGUUCUUUGUGUGUGUGUGUGUUCAUGUGUAGGAGGGGCACAUGCACAGUGCAUGUGUGAGUCAGGAAUCCAGAGCUUGACAACAGCUGUCUCUUUGUUGCUCUAUAAAUUUUAUAAUAUUCACUGUUAACUUUGUGUAUUUGUGUGCAUUCGUGUGAUUAUAUGCCAUGUCUGUGUGGGUGCCUGUGGGGGCUAGAAAGGGGCCACACUCUGAGAUGAGUUAUAGGCAGUUGUGAGUAUCUUGACAUGAGUUCUGGGACUGAACCUGGCUCUCCUUAACCACCGAGUCAGCUCUCCAGCCCUGCACCUUAUUUAUUUAUUUAUUUUAAUUUAUUUUAUGCGUGUGGGUGUUUUGUUUGUAUGUCUAUCUGUGCAGCACAUGUAUGCCUGAUGCCCAUGGAAGUCCUAAGAGGGAGUCAGAUUCCAUGGAGCUAGAACUAUGAAUGGUUGUGGGUCUCUUGGUGGGUUCUGGGAAUCGAACCCAGAUCCUCUGCAAGAACAAGUACUCUAAACCCCUGAACCAUCUCUCCAGCCCCUCUAUACCUUCCUUACUUCUUCCUUCCUUCCUUCCUUCCUUCCUUCCUUCUUUCCUUCCUUCUUUCCUUCCUCCUUUCCUUCCUUCCUUCCUUUUUUUUCUGAGACAGGGUUUCUCUGUGUACCCCUGGCUGUCCAAGAAUUCAACUGUGUAGAUCAGGCUGGCCUCGAACUCCUAGGAAUCGCCUGGGGAGUAAUGGAAUUAAAAGCAUGUAUCAUCAUUACCACACAGCUUUACACCUUACUUAAAAAGCCUGGAGCUUGGGGUUGGGGAUUUAGCUCAGUGGUAGAGCGCUUGCCUAGGAAGCGCAAGGCCCUGGGUUCGGUCCCCAGCUCCGGAAAAAAAAGAACCAAAAAAAAAAAAAAAAAAAAAGAGCCUGGAGCUCACCGGUUAUGCUAGAGGGACCAGCAAGUGAGCCCCUAGAAUCCAGCUGUGUUUUCUUAGAGACCAGGUCUCACAGUUUUCCAAGUUGGCCUUGAGUUCAACCAUGGGCCCACGCUAACCUUGACUCUGUCAUCCUCCUACCUCUUCUCCCAGCAGCUAAGGUCAGGCUUGAGUACACUGCUCUUUUCAGGGUUGUUGUUGUUGUUUGCGUAAGAUCUGUUUAAAGCGUGCGUGUACACAUGAAUAGUAUCUGGGUGCCCAGAGGUCAGCAGGUGGCGUUGGAGUCCCUGCAGCUGUAGUUUCAUGUGUUUGCGUUGCCGCCCAACUGUGCUGGAAGGGCAGUCAGUGCUCCUAACCACUGAGCCAUCUCUCCAGCCCCUGCAUAAGUUAUUCUGAUAGGAAUUUAUGAACUCUCUUUACUCUGAUAUUACUCUGCACCGUCACCCUCUUAUUAAAAUAUGAAUAGGGCUGGUAAGAUGGCUCAGUGAGUAAAGGUAUAUACUAAGCCUGACAGCCUGAGUUGGAUGUCUAAGACCCAUAGCAUGGAAAGCGAGAAUCAGUUCCUACAAGUUGUCCUCUGACCUCCACAUGUGCACCUUAGCUCAUGUGUGCCACACCACCAAGAUAAAUAAACAAAUAGUGGGCAUAGUGACCCAUGUCUUUAAUCCCAGCACUCACUCGGGAGACAGAGGCAAGUGGAUCUCUCGACAUUCUAGGCCAGCCUGGUCUAUACAGAGCUUCCAGGCCAGCCAAGGCUACACAGUGAGACCCCAUCUCAAAAAGAAACAAAAACUAAGCAAGAAAACUUGACCAAACAAAUAACAGAAAAUCUAAAUAAAUAAAUAUAAUCUUAAAAACGCAUUUUAAAAUGUGAAUAGAACCAUGUGUCCAUUACUUCUUUGGUUGCAAACAACCAGAAGCACCCCACAUUUUACCCUACUGCUACAGCAAGGAGAAGAGGUAUUAGGUUUCCUGACCUCAGGCUAAGGCAGGCAUGUCUAACUUAAUCUAGGCUCCUGAUGUCCCCGGCCUUGGCAGUUCUGGUCCCUGCUGGCCUUGUUCUUCUCUUGCUGGCUUCCCUCUCAGCUACGGACAGAGGCUGAAGGGUAGCGCUUUCCAAGUGAAAGCCCACCCAAGAAGCACACGGUUCCCAGAAGCCCCUGCUUGCUUGGUUCAGUCUUCAGCGGCUGGAAUUCUCAAGAAGCAUGGAAAACAAGCUCCUCUCUCUCUGCAGAUGUGGCAGAAGGCCACCUCUUAAAGCCUGGCCUCUUGCACAAGAGCCACCUGGGGGACACCUGAUCACAGUCAGCUUUCUGAGCCAAGUAAAGCCUGUGUUCUUGCCAAUGAGGCCCCAGGCAGGGGAGUGACUUGGUCAGGUAGCCAAGGCUCCUCUAUCACAGGAGUUGGUGGAGUGGCUGCUUAGCAUGACAUGAAAAUGAAAUAAAAUCAACUAAGUCCUCUGCUUCUAAGACAUAGGAAGCUGGAGGAAGGAGGUACUUCUAAGCUUCUGAUUCAUGAAUGUUUUCCUUGGCUCCAAUAUUAAGAGAAAGGCCUAGUACUGAAUCUGUCAGAAACCUUUGUACGGAUGCAGCCUCCUGCUGAGGUCAGGCCUCUCUGAGAGCGCACAUUGCUGUUCCUUACUUCCCAGUGAGACUUGGAGCUGGCCAUCUUAAGACUGCCAGCCACAUGUCCGCAUAGGCAUCCUAACUCAGAGAAGUUGAUAGGUAGGAUCAUGGCUCUAGCACGGCAUGGGAGCCACCUCCUUUGAAUACACUGUGGUAUAGCAGGUAAGAACAUUAGUGCCUAGCAGAGAAGAGAGAGGAAGCCAACGUGAGGCCAGAAGUCUUACCCUCUCCUCCUACAGCCCCUGUGCCCCGGCCCAAGGACUUCAUGAACUCAUGGUGGUAGUCACAUUUUUAUUUGUUUGUAUUUAUUUAUUUAUUUAUUUAUUUAUUUAUUUAUUUAUUUAUUUAAUGUAUCUGAGUACACUGUAAUUGUCUUCAGACACCAGAAAAGGGCAUUGAAUCCCCAUUACAGAUGGCUGUGAGCCACCAUGUGGUUCCUGGGAUUUGAACUCAGGACUUCUGGAAGAGCAGUCAGUGCUCUUAACCGCUGAGCCAUCUCUCCAGCCCUCAUUUGUUUAUUUUUAAGGAUUUAUUUUUAUUUUAUUUUAAAAUUAUAUAUAUGUGUGUGGGUGGGCUUAUGCCCACGAGUACAGGUACUCAUAUUGCCCAGAGGCCUUGAAUCCCCUGGAGCUGCAGUUGCAGGAAGCAGGGAGCUGCUUGACCUGAGUACUGGAGGAACUCAACCUGGGUCCUCUGGGAAAAGGAGCAGUAUACACUCAACUACUGAGCCAUCUCGUCAGACCCAGGAUUACAUUUUUUAAAGGGGGGUUUUGCUUGUUUAUUUUUUGAAACACUCUCUAGCAUAGCCCUGGCUGUCCUGGAAUUCACUACGUACAACAGCCUCAUUUGCCUCUGUCUCCAAAAUGCUGGGAUGAAAGAUGUAUACCACACCGGACUUCAGGGAUAUAGGCAUUUUCUUUUCUUUUUUUUUUUUAAAGAGACGGGGUCUCGCUAUGUUGCCCAGGCUGGAGUGCAGUGGCUAUUCACAGGCGCGAUCCCACUACUGAUCAGCACGGGAGUUUUUGACCUGCUCCGUUUCCGACCUGGGCCGGUUCACCCCUCCUUAGGCAACCUGGUGGUGCCCCGCUCCCGGGAGGUCACCAUAUUGAUGCAGAACUUAGUGCGGACACCCGAUCGGCAUAGCGCACUACAGCCCAGAACUCCUGGACUCAAGCGAUCCUCCUGUCUCAGCCUCCCGAGUAGCUGGGACUACAGGCGUGCGCCACCGCGCCCGGCAGCAUUUUCUAAACUACAUUUACUUACUUACUUUGGGUUUGGUUUCGGUUUUUGAUUGUUAUUGGUUCUUAGGCGGGGUCUCACUAUGCAGCCCUGACUAACCUGGAACCUGCCCUAUGGACCACCUUAGGCUCAAAUUCUGAGAGAUCUGCCUGCCUUUGCCUGUCAAGUGCUGGCAUUAAAGUGUGUGUCAUCAGGUGGCCAUGCCUUCGGUCUCAGCAUGUGGGAGCAGGGGCAGGUGUAUCUGAGUUAGAGGCCAGCCUGGUCUACAGAGUGAGUUCCAGGCCAGCCUGGACUACACAGAGAAACCCUGGCUGAAGUGGGGAAAAGUGUGAAUCGGCAGCAGCCUGUGUGUUUACUAUGGGGUGAGGUAUGCUUAAACUCGGGUGAACGUGUGGGUCAGCAGUCAUGCAGGUUCCCCAGGCCUGCUUCCUGCAGGCUCCAUUCCUUCCUUGGGCCACCUAAGUUCUCCCAUGGGCAGAGGCAGGGGGAAACCUGGAGAACUGACAUCUUCAUGAGCUGUCAGGAUCCUGGUUCUUCCAGUCUAGGCAGGUACAACUUAGCCCACAAUUAUCUGUUCAGAGCCAGAGAAGAGAUUCUGCCCCUCAGGUGACAAGUGACCCCAAUUACACCCUGAUUUCACCUUUGACAUUUCCUUUUCGCCCCUCCCCCAUGCCAUCAAAUGCUAACUCCUGGCCACUGCUAAAGUACCCAGUUGAUCGGUUAAGUGGGAGACUUGAAGUGUGCUCUUCUCCUUCCAAACUCCUACUGUAUAGAUGGACAACUGAGCAGGGGACAGGGCUUGGCCCAGACAGGCUGAACAGCUGCUUUUGUUUUAUAAAUAGUGCUUACCCAAUAAGCACUUUACUGAGUCCUCCUCCAGCCUCAUACUCUUUUUACUAAAAUAUAUAGUUGGGCUGGGAGCACAGCCCAGUGAUAAGAAAUGAGCUUAACAUGCUCAAAUCUCUGGGCAUAAUCUCCAGACAAAACAAAAGCACAAUAACAAACAAACAACAAGAAAACCAUUUCAUGAGACAGUUGUAGCAAAAACUCCACCUCCCUUAGAUUCUACUUUUAGCUGUGAAAGCAAGGCUACAGCAAAUACCCAGAUGCACACAAUUCAUUCAUCUCUCUCGGAACCUGUUUGUCUAUUCAAACUCUGUCCAACAGUGUAAGGCGGAGUCGGUUUCAGGGACCUACUUGGGUCUAUUUAUUAUUUGUUGUGCCCUUUGAUGACAGGUGAAAAUGGCCUCGUAGUUUUUUUGGGUUUGGUUUGGGUUGGUUUUUGAGACAGGGUUUCUCUGUGUAGCCCUGGCUGUCCUGGAACUUGGUUCGUAGACCAGGCUGGCCUCAAACUCACAGAUGCACCCGUCUCAGCUUCCCGAGUGUUGGCAUUAAAGGUGUGCGUCACCACCGCCUGGCGAGUCUCAUAGUUUUGAUUCACAUUUUUUUUUUUUUUAUAUAGAAACUCCAAGAUCUGUUUGUAACUGGGUAGUGUCUGGCUGCUACCCCAGGGUGAAUCUCAGAGCCCUGCUCCUCAGCUCCCAGCUAUUCAUGGAGUAACAGUUUCUCCUGAGUGACUGGAAGAGGCUUGUCUUACUCAGCUGCCCUGGUUUGUCCUGCUUUUCUGCUUCUCAGGGCUGAAGUUAGGUCUCUGGUGCACAGAUGGGAGGACCUGCAGUUGGGGAGUGACAAGAUGAGACCUGCUUUGAUUAGAAGGAGAGCUGGGUAUAUUCCAGAUAGAGAGGAGACUGCAGGGCACAUCAGAAAUGGCCCCUGGGGAUGAAUGGGUAAGCUUGAAGACCAGCAGGCCAGUGGGUGACCCUGGGACACAGGGGGUUAGAAGGAGAGAUGGGAAUUGAGUGGAACUUGCCUUCAGGAUGGAUCACCAAGAAAUGGUUUUACAUUAUUAUUCUCCCAGCGGCCAUUGGAUUGGAGUGGUCACAUGUCCAAAAGGAGGGUUGUAAAUACUGCUCAUCUGGCCACAUCAGGUUAAACCACCUUUGGGGUGUGUCCUGCCCCUGGCUUUCACAGUGACACAACCUGCCUCCUUGGCAGGUUAAUUCGGAGCUAGUUCUCUCCUGACCUAACAGGACUUGCCACAUUGUUCCCGUUCUAUAUCCUGAUGUCCCUCUAGUCUUACCAUGUUGGUCCUCUUCUAUAUCCUGACGUCCCCUAAGCAGGAUGAGUCGGGUGCAGAGUGGCUAUUGGCCUGGCGAGCACAGAUCCUGGGGAGCCGGAAGGCCAGGCCCUGGACCGUUGCCCUUCAGGCUUCUCAGCUCUAGAACCCUUUCUUCCUACCCAUGUUUUUUCUACUGCCUUGUCUUUUCUAGAGUUGCCAGUCUCCAAAGAUUUGUUUUUCAAGUGGCAGCAAGGACACCCAUUGUAGGGCUGAGUAGCUAGCAUAAAGGCUUGAGUUCUAAUCUCUAGCACCAGUUACACUGAGAGACUCUAUUUUAAGAAAGUAAGGUAGAAGACAAUAAGUGACAGUGCUGAGAACUUGACCUCGUGCUCCCGCUUGUGCUCACACACUCAGGCAAACCCUGUGUAUGCCCCAAUACAAAAAAGCAACCAUUAGGGGCUGGAGAGAUGGCUCAGUGGUUAAGAGCACCGACUGCUCUUCUAGAGGUCCUGAGUUUAAAUCCCAGCAACCACGUGGUGGCUCACAACCAUCUGUAAUGAGAUCUGAUGCCCUCUUCUGGUGUGUCUGAAGACAGCUACAGUGUACUUAAAUAUAAUAAAUAAAUAAAUUAAAACAAAACAAAACAAAACAAAAAAAACCCAAAAGCAACCAUUAUAGCUAAUCCUUGUGGCAUACGUCUUUGAUCCCAGCAUUCUGGAGGCAGUGGCAGGCAGAUCUCUUGUUGUGUUGCAGGCCAGCUUGAUCUACGAAGUGAGUUCCAGGCCAGGGCUGGAUACCAGGACUACAAAGUGAGAUUCUGCCUCCCCUCCCCACAAAAGCACUGAUUACUAGACUAGAAAAGGGUGUGCCUAGAUGAAAGCAUCUGACUAGCACACAUAAAAAUCCACAUUUGCCCCAGUACCACGCAAAAUAAACAUUUAAAAAAAAAACGUUGAAGACAUUAAAGUCUUUUUAGAGUUAUGUGAAUUUUGAAUAAUAAUUUUUAUGCUACCCACUUGUGAUAUAUAUUUAUGCUAAAACAGUUUAGUUGUUGGGGUUGAGGGUACAAUCAACCACAGAGCUCAAGCUUAGCACACAUGAAGUGGCAGAGUCAACAACACUGAAGAAAAGGUUGCUUAUUGAAAAAUUGCAAGUUAACCAUUCAUAAUACUUUUGCUUCUGCUGCUGCUUCUUCCACGCCCCGCCCCCCACGCCAUCCUCCCUCUCUACCUCCCUCCCUCCCCUUCAUCAUUCCUUCUACUGGUGAUGCGCCUGCCUCGGGCUUUGUUUUCUUAGGGCACUAAGGGCUUUUUACCUAUAUUGGCUCCAGGUUUAGUGCACUCUUUCCCUCUUCUAAGCUAGACAAACUGACUGGCCUAGAAGCAAGUGAUUUCCCGAAGGUUAGGCCUAAAACAAGGCACAGCAAAGAAUCUCAGCCUUAGUUCCCUCCCUGCACACUAGGACUGUUAGAGAGCCUCCCCUCGAUAGAUGUUCAAAGGAUGGGAUGGGGGGGGGGAGCAGAGAGGCUCCCCUCUCCCUGCAGACUGGACAGGAUUUGAUACUAGUAUAGUCAAAACAAUUUUGCAACCAAGUGACUCUUAGUAAUAACAAUACCAACCUCAGUCAUUUGCAUAACUGACAAAGGGUGUCCCUGGCAGUUAAUUAGAAUGAUAAAGAAAGCAGAUGGACGCACCAGAAGCCUAAAGCACCCUCCUAGUGGACCUGGGAAGUUUCCGGAGCUUCCUCAUUUCGUGAGUGGAUAUUGGACUGACUCUACCCGGGCCAACUUCCAGGAACCUAUAGGUGGCGAGCUCAACCCACUGGCUGGGCGCCGGAUCUUUGCUGAGCACAGAGCGUGGUUCCACCUCCGCUUGGAAUGUACCCUAGUGGGUCAGCAGGUGCGACUGGUUUACAGUCCCGGUACUUACUGCCGGACGGAAUUCCCGGUGGUGAGACCAGUCUGCAUUCAGCCAGGGCCUGAAAGAGAGAAACAGGACUUCGGAGCCUGAUGACUUUGUGACGCCCCUGAGCUAAUGAACCAUGAAGAAGCCAACUUCUCCACCUUCCAUGAAACAGAAUUCAUGUUCCUCUCCAGCUGCUGACCCAUCUGCUGUUACUUGGAGCUCAAGCUUCCUUACUUCCAAAAGCAGACCCCUUGGGGAUGUCUAAAAAGUGUUUGCCUGGUGACUUUCUGUCACUUUUUAUCCUGUGAGGCUGGAAAUUUUUCUUUCUUUCUUUCUUUUUCUUUUCUUUUCUUUUUCUUUUUUUUCUUUUUCUUUCUUUUUUUUUUUUUUUUUUUUUUUUGGAGCUGGGGACCAAACCCAGGGCCUUGCCCUUGCUAGGCAAGUGCUCUACCACUGAGCUAAAUCCCCAACCCCUCUUUCUUUUUUUCUUAAAAAAAAAAAAAAAAAAAAGUCAAGUGUGGUUGGGCACGCCUUUUAUCCCAACUCAGGAGUGAGAGGCCUGAGGAUCUUUGUGAGUUCAAGGCUGGCCUGGUCUACAUAUUGAGUUCCAGGUCACAGUGAAACUCUGUCUAAACUUGUAAAACAUUAAAUCUUGUAUUCUUACUGUAUGUAUAUGAGUUAAUAAUGUGUGUGUGUGCCUGUGUGUAAUUGUGGGUGCGUAUAUGCUAUGAUGAGCAUGUGGAGGCCAGAGAACGUAUUUUGGGAGUUGGUUCUCCUUCACUGUGGGAAUUAGGGAUCCAAGCAGGUUGUUGAACUUUGGGCAAAUGCUUUUCCCCACGAGGAGACAUCUUGCUGGCUCUCUCUCUCUUUUGUCUUUUUUUUUCUUUAUUUACAUUUACUCUGUGUGUGUCUCUCUGUGUGUGUGUGUGUGUGUGUGUGUGUGUGUGUGUUACACAAGUGCCACAGCCCAUGUGUGGUAAGAGAACUUGUGGGAGUCAGUUUUCUCCUCCACCAUGUGGGUUGAAGGAAUCAAACUCAAGUUGUCAACAAGCACUCUUGUUUUUGGUUGUUUUUAGAGACAGGGUAUCUCUGUGUAGCCCUGGCUGUCCUGAAACUCUCUUCGUAGAUCAGGCUGGCCUUAAAUUCAUGAAGAUUUGCCUGCCUCUGCCUUCUAAAAGUGCUGAAAUUAGAGAUAAGUGCCACCACAUCUGGGGACUGGUUUUUUGUUUUGUUUUGUUUUGUUUUAAUUUGUUGUAUAGGCAGACUGGUUUCAAACUCCUGGGGCUCAGGGAUCUUCUUACUGAAGCCUCCCAAGUGGCUGGAACUACAGAGUCCCCACCACACCCAGCUCAGUCUGAUGGCUUUUAAGAGCACAGUCAGGGUUGCGCAAUAGUCAACACUAGUGUCUUCAGUCUAGACCUUUCUCACUGCCCCAGAGCUGAAACUCUGAACCAAUUAAACAAUAACCGCCCCACCCCCAGCUGGUCAGUCCCUGGUUACCUCUGUUUUACUUUCAGUCUCUAAAUCUGCCCAUUCUAGAAAAUUCAGGUAACCUCAUAAGGGCUGUUCUCUUGUGAUUUUUUUUUUUAACCUAACCUAACAUGAUUUUAAGGUUCAUUUUAUGAGAUGUGUCUAAAGUUGAUUGUAUCAAUCAAGAUAACUCACAUCUUUUUUUUCCCCAAGACAGGGUUUCUCUGUGUAGUCCUGGCUAUCCUGGAACUCACUCAGUAGACCAGACUGGACUCAAACUCAGAGAUUUGCCUGCCUCUGCCUCCGAGUGCUGGGAUUAAAGAUGAGCACCACCACCAAUUGUCUGAUAGCUCACAAGUUUUAAACUCAUCUAUAGCAUGUAUCUGCAUUUUCCUUCUUCCUUCCUUCCUUCCUUUCUUUCUUUCUUUCUUUCUUUCUCACUCUCCAUUUUUCUUUCUUUCUCCUUUUUUUUUCUUUUUCUUUUUUCUUUUUUUCGGAGCUGGGGACCAAACCCAGGGCCUUGCGCUUGCUAGGCAAGUGCUCUACCACUGAGCUAAAUCCCCAACCCCUUCUUUCUCCUUCUUAAAAAAAGACUUAUUUAUUUUGUAUAUAUGAACACAUUUAGCUAUCUUCAGACACACCAGAAGAGGGCAUCAGAUCCCAUUACAGAUGGUUGUGAGCCACCAUGUGGUUGCUGGGAAUUGAACUCAGGACCUCUGGAAGAGCAGUCAGUGCUCUUAACCACUGAGCCAUCUUUCUAGCCUCUCCUCCUCUUCCUCUUCCUCCCCACCUCCCCCUCCUCUUCUUCUUUCUCCUCCUCUCCUCCUCCUCUUUCUUUCUUUGUUUCUUUAUUUUUUUCUUUCUGAGACAAGUUCUCACUGUGCCAAGGCUAGCUGUCAAUUUCUAGAUACAAAUGUCCCUCCCAUGCCAACCUUCUGAAUACUAAUGUGUAUUUCCACCGUGCUGGGAUCUUUCCCUUUUAAGGCUGAAUACUAUUCCAUUGUGUUUAUAUAUUUUUAUAUAUUUUAUAUAUUCGUUUAUCAAUAGUUCUUUCUUUUUCUUUUUCUUUUCUUUCUUUCUUCUUUUUUUUUUUGAAACAGGAUAUAUCUAGGCUGUCCUGCAACUCUGAAUCUUCCUGCCUCAGCCUGCUGAGUGCUGGGGUUAUAGGAGUGAACCACCAUGCCUGGCUUCACUUCCAUUCUUUUGGGUACAUACCAGAAACACACAUUACUUUUAAAGGAAUGUGAAUUUUGAACACAUUUUUUUUUAAAAUCUCAGUGUCUUCCAAAGCCAAUGCUUUCUUCCUUAGAGUAAUAUUUCCAGGUCUGAGGACAUGGCUCAGUAGGUAAAGGCAUGACUCAAGCCUGACCACACAAGUUCCAUCCAAGGAACCCACGUUAAAACAAACAAACGAACGAACAAACAAACAAACAAACAAACAAACAAACUGGGUACAUGGCAAAAAUCUCUAAUCGUACUGUGAGAUGGGGAAUGUGAUUCACCUGGACGCUAGCAUGGAGUCACAUGUAACAGCAGACACAAGAGAGACCCAAGCUCAGAAAAGUGGGGAUUGAGAACCUAGCUUGAAAGUUGUUUCCCCCGCCUCCCCUCAAGCUAAAUAAAUGCAUUACUCUUUUUAAUCGACAAAUCCUGUUAAUGACCAUGUGGAUAUUUUUCUGGUCUCUAAAAGCAGGACUACCUGGUCUUAGCUCCACUAUGGAAUGCUGAAAGGCAGCCAUAGCUUUUUUCCUUCCCCACUGGGAGAUACCAGUGAAUGGAUCUUACUGGAGCUGCUGUGGGAUCUCUAUUCUCUGGGAGCCUCAGAUGUACAUAGACCAAGAGGCCGAGUAGACCUUCCAGGGCCAAACAGUCCCUCCAUCAACAUGCCCCUCAGGGCUCAAACAGGACAACGUUCCAUUGUCCCCUCACAGCGUUAAAACCCAGACUUUGCUCCAAAUCCAGGGCUCUAAGCUAUCCUUUAGUCCUGGUGUGUGUGUGUGUGUGUGUGUGUGUGUGUGUGUGUGUGUGUGUGUACAAGCACAGGGGAUUUCCAAGAUGCCUCUAGGCAAAGCCUCUUUCGUCUCCGACCUCACUAGAGAGCAAAUCCCUGAGACCUUGUGUUGGGAGAGCUGGUAUUGGGAGACCAGGGUCUAAGACCAUAGGUCAUUUUCUAAGGCCAUUCUCUUGGCCAACAGCCAACCUCCCUGAUUUGAGUAACCCUCUGGACUUUGUCUUCAUGAGGCCACUUUAGUCCCUCACAGCGUAGUGGCAAAAGGUGAGGGUUGAACAGAAUGACAUGAUGGGGCUGCUCUGUUCCAAUAUGCAGUAGACAGUGCUGUCUAUAGCUUGCACGAGUGUGUGAAUGCAGGCAGGUGCUAGUGCACCUUGUACUCCUGUGUUUAUACUAAUGACAGAGCUCAGCCUGUGGCCUGUUACUGCUUGGCACUGAUAACAGGGCCUGAGACCAAAGUAUGUGUGCUGGGGAAACCCCAUGUUAUUUAACAAAAACAUAGUGCUUUCUCCAUUCCAGCCAGUCACUAUGGUAACCCCCCGGGAAGCAGGGACAGCAUAGUCUGACCAGUGAUGGGGUGUAUACCACUGACUAGCCACAAAACUCCAACAUGGGGAACAGAGGAGAGCCCUCCCUUCCCUUUUUUGUUUUGUUUGUUGAGACAGAAUCCCACAGAGUAGCCCAGGCUGGCCUUGAAUGUAUAACCAUCCUCCUGCCUCAGUCUCCCAGUGCUGGGAUUAUAAGCAUGUACCUCCAUGUCCUGCUGUAGGACACUGGGUUUAUUGUUGUUGUUGAUUUGUUUUGGAGAUGUUUUUGUUUUGAAACAGGGUCUCCUGUAGCUGGGAUGACUAUGAACUCCCUAUAUAGUCAAAAGUGACACUGAAUUCUUGAUUCUUUACCCUUUAUCUCUCAAGUGCUGGACUACAGGCAUGGACCACACCUGGCUGAGGCCACAUUCAUUCUAUCUAUCUAUCUAUCUAUCUAUCUAUCUAUCAUCCAUCUAUCAUCUGUCUUCCUUUCUUCUUUCUUCUUUCUUUCUCUCCCUUUUUUUCAUUUUGAGACAGGUUCUCACUAUAUGGCUCUGGAACUCUCCUGUAACUCACAGAGGUCCACCUACCUGUGCUUCCUAAGCACUAGAAUUAAAGGUGUGUGCCACAA